ACUUUUUGAUUAAGAGAUGAAAACUUGUUCAUUAAGUAAUUCUUCCCCAGGGCCAAAGAACCUCUAUUCUGGGAUCUGAUCCCAAUGAUGUCCUCAUGUGGUUUGCUGCUUUUCCUGAAAAAAGCUUUUAUGGAACAAAACUCCAACCAGUCCUUUAUCUGUUGAAACGAACAAGAUUCAGUUUGAGUUCUCAGCUGGAAUGCUCAAGGUUUAAAUCACUCAAACAUACAUAAAGCCGAAAACUGGGUUAAAUAUUCAAGAAUCCUGAGGCAAGAAAUCCAAUGAUAGAAGCACAAAGCCGUAGCAUGAAUGGUUGGCUUUGGCAACCAGCCCCUUCCACGCCUGUCCUCUUUAUAGUCCAGCCAGGGCGUGGCUUCUUAGUGUCUUUUGCUUUUCCUGGAGAGCCGCCCCACCACCCUCCGCUGUCCUGCACACCUUUCAUCCCUGCGCAUCUGUGCAUCUGGAACAGGCCCCAGCUGCUCUUCGUCUUUGCUCAGUUCAGGUCCCCAACCCAGCUGUCUCUCUGCCUGAGCAUGAGUAGAUGGGCCCAGUGUCACAUCUAGUUCUGAAUCUUCAAGCUCCUCAAAGCCUUCCACAGACUCUGAUGUGACCCCAGGCAACCCUUCCCCCUCAUCCGAUUCAUCUGACUUGACUGCCAGAUCUGCUGGCAGGCGAGGACUCACAACAAUAUCCACCCGGAACAAGGACUUUCCUAGCUCAACUGGAAUGAACUACUAUUGGGUUCUACUUAUCCCUGAACUGUAUGCUGUGAUUUUGUUCUACAGCUUCAGUGAUACCCCAUUAAAAGAUUAAUCCCAA